rnacentral:rRNA from 1 species
UAACCUGCCUCUUAGCGGGGGAUAACUAUUGGAAACGAUAGCUAAUACCGCAUAAAAGUCGAUAUCGCAUGAUAUUGAUUUGAAAGGUGCAAUUGCAUCACUAAGAGAUGGUCCUGCGUUGUAUUAGCUAGUUGGUGAGGUAACGGCUCACCAAGGCGACGAUACAUAGCCGACCUGAGAGGGUGAUCGGCCACACUGGGACUGAGACACGGCCCAG